rnacentral:rRNA from 1 species
AACGAACGCUGGCGGCAGGCCUAACACAUGCAAGUCGAGCGCGCCCUUCGGGGUGAGCGGCGGACGGGUGAGUAACGCGUGGGAACGUGCCCUUUUCUACGGAAUAGCCUCGGGAAACUGAGAGUAAUACCGUAUACGCCCUUUGGGGGAAAGAUUUAUCGGAAAAGGAUCGGCCCGCGUUGGAUUAGGUAGUUGGUGGGGUAAUGGCCUACCAAGCCGACGAUCCAUAGCUGGUUUGAGAGGAUGAUCAGCCACACUGGGACUGAGACACGGCCCAGACUCCUACGGGAGGCAGCAGUGGGGAAUCUUAGACAAUGGGGGCAACCCUGAUCUAGCCAUGCCGGGUGAGUGAUGAAGGCCUUAGGGUUGUAAAGCUCUUUCAGCUGGGAAGAUAAUGACGGUACCAGCAGAAGAAGCCCCGGCUAACUACGUG